GCCCUGGUGGCUCAGUGGUUAGGCACUUGGCUGCUAACCAAAGGUUGACAGUUUGAACCCUUGGUGGUUCAAACCCACCCAGCGCC
rnacentral:tRNA from 1 species